UCCCUACGGGAGGCAGCAGUAGGGAAUCUUCCACAAUGGACGAAAGUCUGAUGGAGCAACGCCGCGUGAGUGAAGAAGGGUUUCGGCUCGUAAAACUCUGUUGGUAGUGAAGAAAGAUAGAGGUAGUAACUGGCCUUUAUUUGACGGUAAUUACUUAGAAAGUCACGGCUAACUACGUGCCAGCAGCCGCGGUAAUACGUAGGUGGCAAGCGUUAUCCGGAUUUAUUGGGCGUAAAGCGAGUGCAGGCGGU
rnacentral:rRNA from 1 species